rnacentral:rRNA from 1 species
CCUUCGGGUGGGGAUUAGUGGCGAACGGGUGAGUAACACGUGGGCAAUCUGCCCUGCACUCUGGGACAAGCCCUGGAAACGGGGUCUAAUACCGGAUACUGACCUGCCAAGGCAUCUUGGCGGGUCGAAAGCUCCGGCGGUGCAGGAUGAGCCCGCGGCCUAUCAGCUUGUUGGUGAGGUAAUGGCUCACCAAGGCGACGACGGGUAGCCGGCCUGAGAGGGCGACCGGCCACACUGGGACUGAGACACGGCCCAGACUCCUACGGGAGGCAGCAGUGGGGAAUAUUGCACAAUGGGCGAAAGCCUGAUGCAGCGACGCCGCGUGAGGGAUGACGGCCUUCGGGUUGUAAACCUCUUUCAGCAGGGAAGAAGCGAAAGUGACGGUACCUGCAGAAGAAGCGCCGGCUAACUACGUGCCAGCAGCCGCGGUAAUACGUAGGGCGCAAGCGUUGUCCGGAAUUAUUGGGCGUAAAGAGCUCGUAGGCGGCUUGUCGCGUCGGUUGUGAAAGCCCGGGGCUUAACCCCGGGUCUGCAGUCGAUACGGGCAGGCUAGAGUUCGGUAGGGGAGAUCGGAAUUCCUGGUGUAGCGGUGAAAUGCGCAGAUAUCAGGAGGAACACCGGUGGCGAAGGCGGAUCUCUGGGCCGAUACUGACGCUGAGGAGCGAAAGCGUGGGGAGCGAACAGGAUUAGAUACCCUGGUAGUCCACGCCGUAAACGGUGGGCACUAGGUGUGGGCAACAUUCCACGUUGUCCGUGCCGCAGCUAACGCAUUAAGUGCCCCGCCUGGGGAGUACGGCCGCAAGGCU